AGCCCUUGAAGUUUGGGUUUGAUGUAUGAGAGCUGUAGGCUUUAGGGAUGAAAUUCAGUUAUAUGUUUUUUUUCCAUGUGGUUGAAACUUCAGGGCUUUUCUUGCCAUCACAUUUGAUGCACGGUCUUGAUGUUAUGGAUUUUCAGCUUUCCUCAUCUACAGUUUCAUUUUAUCUCAGCGUGUUUGUGUCUUUGUGUGUGUUCCAGCCAGCGCAGUGAGCCAGGUGUGCCUGGGAGUCCCUCACUUCAGAGGCCAAAAGUUCAAAGGUCAGCUCCCUCUACCGGAUCUCUCCACGGGGUCUAAACUCUUCUAAGGAGCAGAGAUAAAGGCACCAUCUGAUCCUCAGCGUCACUCGGGGCCUGAGCUCUGACAGAGAUGAAAGCAGAGAAGCUCGUUGGAAAUGACUUUCUUGUCGCUGCUUCAACUUUUAAUUUCCUUAAUUGAUUUUCCCCUUUCCCGCAGAGGUAAGGGUUUGCAGACACAAAACUAAUUGAUUUCAAAUUUUAAUCCCUCUUACCGCUGAGCCAUCGAGGGGCCUCUCUGCCAUCGAUCUCCAAUCCAUCCAAACUCAAUUAAAGUGCUUAAAGAGCGAUGGCAGGAGGCGGAGGAGCAGAAGGACCUCUCUCCUCUUGGGUUUCAUCUCUCUACUUCCAAGAGUCAGAUGUUGCUCUGCUACAUUUAUUAUCUAUUUAAUCUUACAGCCCUGAUAGAUGGUUUUAUAUACCCAGUGCAUUUUCAGUUAUGUUUGUAAUACUUGAAUGCUAUCUUUUUAUGAGUGUUUUAUCUUUUUCAAACUGCUUGAUGCUUGAUGUGGCUCAUCUGACUUUACUGUGCCUGUUAAAAACGUUCUUUUCUGAAAUGCAUGUGGCGCCUCUGCAGGAUUGUCUCUUUAAAAAAGGUUGUUGAUUCGGCGAAAUAGUUACUUUCACAAACUGUCAGUUGUAAACAAGCCUUUACGGAGAAUCUGUAGCCUCUCAGUAUCCGUGCAGUGAUCUGAGUGUAACGAUAAUGAGGCACUGUGCUGAUUGGCAGCUGAGGAGGAAGGGUCCCACUGAGCAGUAGAUGGCUAUUAGACAUCUAAUUUUUUUUAGACCUAAUUUCAACCGUCUAGAUUCUGUAGAUUUUUAGACGGAAUUUAGACAUUGCACUUCAACCGAUUAUAUGAUAACUAUUUAUUUCAAAAAGUAACUGUGAGUUGCAUGACUGAUCUCCAAGUAUUUAACCAAAAUAAUUGAUAGUUAUUGAGCAAUAGACAGUGUAGUAGAGAUAUAGCCCAAAUUCAGUCUAAACUUGGUCUAGACGUCUAAAAAGCUUUCAAUUUUAUACCUAGCCUGACUUUAGCUAGUCAUCUAGGCUACAUUUAGACGUCAAUUAGACUUCUUUUAGACCAAAUAAUGCUCAUUGGGGUGCAGACAAAUGCGGAUUCGGAAAAACAUAGAAUGAACAUGACAAGUGCUUCAGGAAAAUCCUUGCUAAUAUGCAACACAAAUAAUCCAGGAUCUGAGCCUGAAGAGGAAGACACAACUGUUGACUUAUUAUCAUUGGUAUCAUUGGAUUGGUAAUGUCAGAGGGUAACAGUUUGACUCACUUGCCAAAUACACGUUACACUGCAUUUUGCACCACAAUCUUGGAUGUUUUAGCUCAUCCUUAAAUUGGAUAUUUGCAUGCAAGUGCCACAAACAGUUUGCUCUUGGACAUUGUUUCUCAACACAAACUCCAUUAACCCCCUUUUGAAGCUGGCAAAAAAUCCUGCACAGAGGUCCUUAAUAUUGCAAACCUGAAAAUCUGCUCAUACUGAAAAUUCCAUGUGACCUGUCAUACCGCAGAUAUUGAAGAAAAGAUGAUGGUGAUUGGGUUUGUUUCAAAGAUACAUAAGAAUAUUAUCUCCAGCAAAAUCAAAACUGUCUGUCAGAGUGUUCUACAGUAUGUUCUCUGUGUGGACGUGUGGAACUGUGGAACUGUACCACACCCUAAACAGACAAACAGAUUAUUUCCUCCCUCCGGCAGACUCGGUAGAUUUUUUUCUGAAAUGUUUUUUUUUUUUUUUUAAUGAUGUCGUGUUUUAGCGAGGUUAACUUUAUAGCAGUCUGAGGGCUUUGAAAGUCCUUGUGGACUCUAGCAGCUUUGGAGUAAAAUGAAAUUGAAGCGGUCCUCUCUCGCACUUUCACUUGAACUUCAAAGGCUCUGAACUUUGGCAGAGGGGAGGGCAUUGAAAUGAAUUGUUAAAAAUAUCCUACUGCAGUAGUUUAUAAUGAACAUUAUGUGAGUGUGUGCAUGUGUAUGUGUGUGUGUGUGUGUGUGUGCGUGCUUGUGUGUGUAUGCAUGGAGAAGCUGACAUCAGCACUUGGGGGAAAGAUUUAUGACUGUGUAAAUAAGGGUGGGGUUCUGGCCCAAAUGUAGAGUGUGUGGGUCACAUCCCCAUAUGAGAGUCUCAGGUUAUCCCAAAGAGACAGAUCUCACCUCAGACCCAUUUAUUCCCAUAUAAGCAACAUUCACAAAGACAUAGGCCUACUAAGGACUUGGUGGUUUUUGUAGACCUCAGAUUUAGGUUCUGGCUCAUAUCAGGCACUUUUAAGUCAGGCUUGUUUGACUUAAAUUUUUCUUUUUUUAAUUUGUCAUAACUCACUCUUGUUUUGCUGGAUUUCAGGCUGUCUUUCCUCCUUUUGUCAUCUUUUCUCAGCUUUAAUUUGGUCAGCCGUUUUGUGCAUUUGAUGUUAACGCUAGAUAAGUUGUUCAAAUAUUAAUAAAAACCUUAAACAAUCAGUCCAAUCAGGAUCAUGAGGAAAAGCAAGAUGAGGACGGUGACUUUGUCAACUUCACAAAGUGUUAAAGACAUGUUUUAGCUUUUGGACUGAAACUUAAAAUUAGUUAAAACUUACCAACCUCUUCUGCAUUUCAUUCCAAAUCUCGUGUGAGAAUUUACCUGAUUCUGAGUCAGUCACCUGUUAUGCAUUAGAAGAUUUUGUUUUGACCAUUUGCUGUCGUACAUGUAGGCUCCUCAAUUCGCCUCUGUGCUUUUAUUUCAAAAGGACGUAUACGACGCUUUAUGUAGAUUCAGAACCAAUUAUUUUAUCAACAGCUAAAAAUACAAGUAGAAAUGUCAAUAUUCAAAUCAUUAUGCAUUUUAUGACCCUCCACUAAUUCAGGCUUUCUAGCUUUGAUGUUAAACUGUUAAGAAGUUUAUUCCUGGAGAAUAAGUGGGUCCCUAUGAAGUUUUCCAAAGUAUUCCAGGUGUCUGCCAAGUUGCUCACCAUCCUCCCAUCUCCUUGAGUCCCUGGUUGAGUGGAGCAUCUAUCUUGAUGGAUUUGGGCUCAGAUUGGGAUCGACAGGGCCAUUUUGUCCCACAGUAUAAGUGCUGUCUCCAGGAUUACCCCUGUCCUCAAGGCUGACUCCAACGUUAAUGGCACAGCAGCUGAAGGAUGACAACCAUAACAGCAGCACAUGCCCGGUAUUAUCUGGGUUCAGUCAUGUCCAGAAGUGGAUAGGUUGGCGUGAAUACACAUGUGUUUCUGAGAAUACCAGCGACCCUCUGAUCCUGAUUGCAGUUCUCAUUAUAAAACAAGAGGAUACCAUCUCAUAUGGAAACCAUCAAAUCAUGGCCGGGCAGAGCAGUUGGCUCAAACUUUGUGGCUGACGUUGAUGGAUCUAUUACGAUCCGUAUGGAGAGGAAAUAAAAAAUAAAUGCUGCCCCAGAUUCCAAACUUUAAAAAAAGGAUGUCAUUUGUUUUUCCUGGCUGUGUGAUGGAGAAAGAAGUGUAACACAAGCUCUGGAAGCAGUCGACAGACAUGGACACAAAGGGGAUGUAGUCCCUGGAUUAGUCCUCCUGUUGACAGAACUCCAUGGAUCCCAGAAAACAAGAACAUGGUAUCUUAGAGGGAGUCAAUGUUUGCCAUAAAAUGAUAAUGGGCCUCAGCCGAGUACAACCACUGAUGUUACUGCUGGAUAAGAGGAGAAGGAAAAAUAUACUACUGAGUGAGUAAUGAGACUUAAAGGUUAAUCAGAGAGUUUAGGGGGCACCUGAUUGCAUCGUAUCCAUCUGAAGGAUAAACUUCAUAAUGUUUUAUCCAUUACAAGGACAAAAAGAGGGCAGAGCUUUAGCAGUUCAACUACAAGAAGAACACCUUCAUAAAACUUUAUUUGGUUUUAUCUGCUGAUUGUUUAGCAGAGGGCAUUUGUUUAUCUCCUGGGAGUCAUCUAACUUGCUAGAGGGCAGGAGGACACUGAUUCCUAAUAUUAUUUCCCUCUUAGCAACAAGAAAAGCAUCCUGGAAAACAUGUUUUAACAACUGGAAGAGUAUCCAGAGGGUACUUUUUAUGGCUUCUCUAUUAGAAGGCUUUCCAGAGAGGAAUCUUUAAUGCUCAAGCUACAGGAAAAUCAUCCAGACUGUGAUAAUUUCAGGUUCAAUCCACUAGAAGGGUUUCCAAAGGGAGUAUUUGUGCUGAAAAUAUCCUAAAGGUGCAAUUUAAUUUACAACAUGCUGUAAGGGCAUCCAGAGGAGACUUCUUAGUGUCAAACCCACUAAGUUGUUUAUUUUAAUGUUAAAUUCACAGAGGAACUUACCGUUUUUUUUAAAGUUAUUUGGAGGGACAUUCAGAGGACGAUUUGUAAUGUUACCAUUACAAGAAGGGCAUCCAGGCAGCACCUUUUAAGGGUUUAUUUAGCAGUAGAGUUUCCAGAGAGACUUUUUAAAGUUAAAUCCACAGGAAGGGCAUCGAGGGGGUGCUUUUUUAAAACACAAAGUACUGAGAGUGAGUCAAAAGGUCACUCUUCUAGGUCCAGUCCACUGGAAGGACAUCCAGUGGGGACUUUUCUUUUUCUAAUAUCUGAUCCACUUGAUGUGUUUUCUGGGUGGGGAUUUUUUAAUGUUGAAGGACAUCCAGGUUGCAUGUUAUGUUAUUUCCAGUAAAAGAUCAUCCUGUUGGUCCUCUGGAAGGGCAUUCAGGAGUCAUUUUGUACUUCAAAACCAUUGAGAAGGAGUUGUCAUUUGCCCAGAGUUGAUUUCUAAUUUCCUCUCCUCUUCUAGAGGGGCAUCUAGAGGAUAAUUAAUUUUUUGUGGGCCACCAGUUGGUCAUCUGAGGUGAAUUUUUAUCUUUGCUGAGACUUUAAGAUUACAGUUUCUUGAUACCAACCCCCUUCUCUAAAUACACAGCUGUCUACAGCGGCUCCCUGUCACUGACUCUCUCUCUCCUCUUAUUCCUUCCUUUUACAACAAGCCCUCCCUGCGCACUACGAUUUUUUAAACACAUUUUAAUAUGAAAAUAAUUGAAGGAAAGUGUUACAAGGGAUUUUGGCACUAACAGCUGACAGCAGUUGCAGUCCUAAGACUCUUUAUGAAGACAUUAAGCUGUCUAAUUACCAGCUGUUGCUUCUCCUCAUUUCAAACGCCUCCUCAAAGUCAUGAGCUGCUAAAGUCUGUGCAGAAGUAAAGAGCCUGAAUGGAGUUUCAUAUUUUACUCGGCUUUAUUGGAUUCUGUGACUGUUUACAUGAAAUGCUUGAUAAACAGGAUGGAAGUGGAUUAAAAGGCAAAACACAAGAUGCAUGUGACAUAACUCAUGAGGGAAUAAAGACAGAAUAAUAGGAACAUUUCAGAUUACUGUGCUGCUUAUUGUUUGUAUGACUUUCCCUGACGCUGUUUGGGUAGUCUGUGCACAUGUUUACAUUUGAGUUUUGAUAAGAUCCCAUCUGAUUAAAAAUUAUGCAUGGUCACUCUACCCAGUGCACCAUAAGCUGUGUAAUAAUAUACAGCAGACAUACUUAAUUCAGCUCAAUGAAACAUAAUAGUUAGAUAGGUUGUGGGAAAAACGGGACUUACGAUAUUAGUUAGAGUAAGACUUCCAUGACUGUGGGGUGAAUAUUGAACUGCAGCCAAGACAACUUUAAUAUCUGAGCACACAGACCGGAAACUUUGUGCUGAGAUAUGUAACAGGGACUUGAGAACUUGGGUUAGAGAUGGUACCAGAGAUGUCCACAGCCAUGUACACCAAACAUGGAGGAUAUGGUCAGUGCUGGUUUGACCUGUAGUUACAUUUUUGGGAUUAACACAGACUUCUGUGCAUAUACAGAUGGUACUACAGUAUGUCAUGGCGUGCGUCAAACACUGAAGUAUAAAGAAGUGAAAAGAGCAGGGCACAUGAUACAGCAGAAAUCUGGUGAUCCUAUUUGGAAAGCAGUUCCUCCAACUUUGGUGCUAUUAUUUUGGACAGUCUGGUGUAAUUUUUCCUGACUUUUUAACCAACAAUUGAUGCUUGUAAAUUCUAAAAAGUUGCUUUCAUUGACAUACAGCAGCUGGGUUUUAUUCAAGUUUAACAUGGUUUAUCAAGUAUGCAAAACCUGUCCAAAAACAUUUCCAAAUCCUUGAAAUUUACUCCAAUAAACUUUUUCCAACCUUUCAUUGUUGCAGGAGUAAAGUGAGUCAUCCUUUACAGCACUGCGAUCAGAGCUCUGUGGUUAAAGAGAAAAAGCACUAUAGCAUUGUGGCGUGCCAAUGGGAAAAACUGCCUUUUGGAUAUGAUGUGUUGCCUGAUCCGGACCAGUCCAGAGAACGGGGAAUAAGAGGAGUUUGGGCUGGGAGAGGAGUGGAAGAAGAAGAGAAAAUAUGGGAGCUAUCAGCACUCACCUCUGCAGAAAAACAGAGCCAUGAUGAAAGCAGAAGGCAGAGAGGAGGGAAAGACUGACAGGCUCCGACAGACGGAGAGUGAAGGUUAAAAUGACAGAGAAGGGGUUCAGCGGGAAGGAGGAGGAGAACUGGACAGCUGGGAUGAAACCAGAGUUACAGACAGGCAGACAGACGUCUCGAAUCAGCAAACAUGAAUUCACCUUUAACACCCAGUUUACCUGGCAACAGCUGAGAAAGAGAUGAGUUAACAAAGAGUCAAGGAAGUGAGCAAAACAAACUCUGUAGAACUUUGACCACCCUUUUCAUUUAUUGUUCAGUUGGAUUAAUGUUAUCAGUGGACUCUGUGUGUCUUUAGAUAUGGUAGAUGAUUUGCCCUCAAAUUCAUACAGUACAAAUGAAAGGCAUUACCAUUAAAAAACACUGAAGCCCUCCACAAUUAUUAAGAAUUAUUAGGGGUCCUUCAGGUGCAGACAGGAUGGAGGCUGCACAAAUAGACUUAGUAUACGUCAAUCAGCUGACAAGUCUGGGAAACUGUCUUAUUUUAAAGUAUUGUAAGCCAAAGAUGAGACCUGGAUUCCAAGUAAUACAUUACAAAUUCAGCUUAUAGAAAAAUAAAAAUGACGAACUUACUAUGUACUUACUGGUUGGGAUUGAAAAAAUACUGAUCCAAGAGACAAAGUUGUCAAAAUACUCAGAACAACACCUCAUCUGAAGA
rnacentral:lncRNA from 1 species